CUGGCGGCGAGGGCGCGCAGGGCCCGCCCCCAGCCCGCCGCCGCCGCCGCCUCAGCCCAACAUGGCGAUGCACAACAAGGCGGCGCCGCCGCAGAUCCCGGACACCCGGCGGGAGCUGGCGGAGCUGGUGAAGCGGAAGCAGGAGCUGGCGGAAACACUGGCGAACUUGGAGAGACAGAUCUAUGCUUUUGAAGGAAGCUACCUGGAAGACACUCAGAUGUACGGCAAUAUCAUCCGCGGCUGGGAUCGGUACCUGACCAACCAAAAAAACUCCAAUAGCAAAAACGACCGAAGGAACCGGAAGUUUAAGGAAGCUGAGCGACUCUUCAGUAAAUCCUCAGUUACUUCGGCAGCUGCAGUAAGUGCAUUGGCAGGAGUUCAGGAUCAGCUCAUUGAAAAGAGGGAGCCGGGCAGUGGGACGGAAAGUGAUACUUCUCCAGACUUCCACAAUCAGGAGAAUGAGCCCAGCCAGGAGGACCCUGAGGAUCUGGACGGAUCUGUGCAGGGCGUGAAGCCUCAGAAGGCUGCUUCUUCUACUUCCUCAGGGAGUCAUCACAGCAGCCAUAAAAAACGAAAGAAUAAAAACCGGCACAGUGCGUAAUGAGAUAGGAAUGACAUCAGUGGACAGAGAGGUCAGGUGUCACCCAGAGAGGAUUUUAGCAUUCACUCUGCCUGGGGUAUGUAUAUUAGGUUAGGCUGGGAAGUUUUUUUUAAAAACAGAAAAACGUGAUGGAGGAUUGAUCUGAAGUUAAACAAAAAACCACGAGCUGACUAUUAGAAGACUCAUUAGUGCAGAAGCUUCCAGGCUGUAGAGCCCUGCUUCCCUCCUCCAACCUCACAAAGAUAAAUAUCCCUCACCUGAGUGCGCGGCCAUCCACCUCUGCUUUCCCAGACCCAGUGCCUGUGACUCUGAAUAGUUUGUUCUGAAACGUGGUGACAAGUCAUUUCUGUAAGACCACACUGGAUCAUUUACUGUGUGUCCUGUUUAGUAACAGAACUGCAAGAAGACCAAGACAUGGUUAUAAUUCCAGCAAGUUGCUAACUCUGCAUUUCUCCCUUCUUGGAAUGAAUGUGUAUCCCCUACCCCCCCAUCCCCAACCCCCGCCCCCAAAACUGGCUGGCACCAGCUUCAUCUGUGAUACCCAUUGAGAAAUGUUCUCUGGUUUUGUUUAUGCUGAAGGUAGAACAUAGGUCACGUUUCAGAGGGAGGCUGUAAAUAUCUGGCAUUUUCUUAUUUUGUUUGUGUUUUAUUAUUUUUCUAUUGUUUUUACCAUCUUCUUUUCUUUGGGGACUUUUUGUAAUGCCGUUGUACAGCUCAUACCUUCCUGCCAACAUAUCUGAUAAUCUGCUUCAUGCAGUUGCCAACAUUCUUAACUGAAAAUAAUCUGGUUUAUCAUAGAGAAAAUGGGGAACUUGGCUCUGUGUUUUUGCAGGGGGAAGGUAGAGAGGGUUUAUUUAAUAAUUACCUAUCUUAAAUCUUUCUGCGUUGGAAGCAGUUUCGUGUUCAAGGAACAGGAAAAGCUGAAAAAAAACCCUAAGUUUAAAUCAAUCCUUUUAAAAUAGAUAUUUUUAUUCUUUUAUAUAAAUAAAAUUUCACAGGUGUUGACUUCUCAUGCUUUACUUUUAAACCUGAGAUUGUUUUUUCACUUAUUUUAUUUAUUCGUAUCAUGCCUUAUGGAAAUUUCUCCCUUUUUCCAUUUUUCUCUCUUUGCUGGUAUCUGCCUGACUAAACAUUGCUCUAAAAAUCACUAAGGCAUAUGGAAGGGCUCAACUUUGCACCCAAAGCUGGUAAUGCCUGGACUUCUUGAGCAGAGUGAGAGAUAGGAUCCGCGAGAGCCAGCAAUGCCCAGCAAGACCCCCCCCCUUCCUCCCAGAGCCAGCCGGGCUGGGGAACUUGCAGAUUUGUUGAACUCCUGCCUCUUGAGUGGGGCUCUAUCUCGGCCGCUCAUGACUCACCUGGGAAGCUUACAGACCUACUGAUGCCUAGGUCCCCACCCCCAGAGACUCUGACUGGGGUACAGUCUAGUUCCUGGGAUUUCCUGCCACAGAGGCCCUGGGGUUCUGAUAAGAAGCCAGGUUGAGAACCACUGCAUGAGGAGUGUCUGAUUGAAAUCCUAUGUUGCGAAUCAGUCUAGGGGAUGAGAUUUGGGGCCCUGCCUUUCUUUCGAUGCUGUCCAGUCCUAGUCCUCGACUUAGGCCCAUAUCUUUGUUAGAACAAGUAUGUUCCAUUGUGAUAAUAUUGGUAGAGCUGAAUACGGAUGGCGUCUGUUAGCAAAACGCGUCUACCUUGUCAGAUGUGCAAAAGCUUUCACUCUUGUUCUCAAAUAAACUUUUUUUUUUUUGA